GCACCUUGGUGCCCAUUGCCAGAAAUCAUUUUUCUACAAUGCAAAAGAAGAUAUAUUUUUUCUAAACACGCACACACACAUGUAUAUUAUGUAACUGCGAAAUUUAAUGGUAUCAUUUUACUUUCACAUGUGGCAUACAAAAGAAAGACAAUUAUGUAUUAUCAAAUGGGCUUCCUUCUUCUAUUAUUGGGCGGGAAUUUUAUAAUUUUUGUACAUAUAAGAAAUUACAUUUUUCAAAACAAAAUUUCAUGGAUUCAUGGUGCAUACAUACAAGUUUCCACUUAAUUAUUUUUGAAUUUUUUGAAACUUUUAAUAUGUUUUCUGGGUUUUUACUUCGCAUGCCCUUCUGCCUCGCUAUAAUCAAGACACAUAGGAGCGCCCACAUUUAUGUUCAUCCUCCUUGUUUCCGCUGUACCACGGCACAAUGUUAGCGACGAAGGUGAGUUAAGGUUUCUAUCACAUUACGUCCGCUGGGAUUUGCUAGAGCAUCUCCAAUAGCGAAGACGGUGAGUUAAGUUCCUGUCACAAAAAGAAAAAAAAUAUCCAACAAAUCUAAUGACAUUAUUUCGAUGAAACAAGCCAAAACGUCAGAUUAGUUAAAGCCAAGAGCGUCGAGUUUAUUAAAUGGAGGGGCAUCCUAGUUAUGUUUUCCAACAGUUUUUUAAUUGCUCAAGAGGACCGGCCCUAGAUAUAAUAAAAGAACUUUGAUGCACAAAUGUCACUACAGAUUACCAGAUCUGGUGCCUCUCUCAGCAACCACCGGCCAUGUCGAGCUCCACGAGAUCAGAUGCCUCUCAAGCCAAACAUGACCCGACCAUCAGCACUACCUUGUGCCUCAAAGGCCAUCGCCCCAUAUUGUAUUCCUCAAGCUAGUUCGCUGCCUAGCCGCAAGUUGUCGUGCAACCGUGUGCUUAUUAGUUCAAUGGAGAGAUUGAAAGAGGGUCACUCUUAAUGUGGGGUGAUAGAAAUGCAGGGGUAAACUUUAGUGCAAGUAAUGCGCAUGGUCUUCGUCUCUCAGUCCAUCACUGGUAUUUUGCAUAUGGCAAGAACAUUUCGUGCCUCACUUUAAAUAACCGCUUUCCUUUGGCAACUGCUAUUGUCCCUCUGCUUCCCGUGCAUGUUGUGGGUCUACAAUAGGAGAGGCAACCGUAAGGAAAGUCUCCAUGGAAGGUGUCAUCUGGAACAGUGGCAAACCGCAACACGGUAAUACUGCACUGAGUGAGGAAAUUGGAAGGAAGGCCUGGGCCAAGAAUAUCUUUCCGCACACCUCUCAUUCCAAACAUACACGUGUCUAAUAUACCAAAAUAGUACUGCUGGUUGGGUAUUUGAUAGCCAUUUUCUUUGGUAGUCCCUCCGGAUGGGAAUAUAAGUGGGGCACGGGAAUUUUAGUCAUCAGUUUAACUAGCUGGGUAAAAGAUGCUAGGGUGGAUAAGAGGGUAUACAAGACAAUACAUGUGAAGGAGAUGAGUCGGCCAUAGGCAAUCGGCUUUGUAAGUGUGGAGCUGCAAAAUGGUUGGUGUGCAUGUUAAUUAUCUUUGAUUCCUGAAAAUAUAAUAUUUUAGAAAUUCGAAAUGUGUGAUCAUAUAAUAAUUGUUACAAAUCCCAAAUAUAUGAACAAUUUGCUUAAUUUGUUAUACGAAGCAACCACAAUAUCCGAAAAUUCCCAUAUACAAGGCCAGACAAAUCCCUACAGCCACACUGUUUUUCCAGUUAUUGCCUUAGGCUGGCCAUAGUGAAAGUAACUAAGGUAGUAUCAUAUACUUGGGAAUAGCAAAUAUGCUGAUGUGGCAGACAAUUAAAGAAGAGAGAGAGAGAGUUAGAGUAAUAUAGGUAGAUACCGUAACAUGUUAAAUGAUAUGGUACUAGUAUGUGUCAUGUAUGUCAAUAAAUGAAGUCAUCUAUGAUACUAGUUUAUGAUACUAUGCACUAUGAAGGUAGUAUCAUACAAUAAUAACAUAUGCAUGAUACUACUAUAUGAUACUCCCCACUAUGACCAGUCUUAGGCACAUGCGCAGCUCUAGCCAUUCCCAAGGAGUACAGUCACAAUGCAAUUAAGACACUUCUAGUUGUAUCAAUGAGAGCAUGGUUAAUAAUGUAACUGGCUGCUGGGGACAGG
rnacentral:lncRNA from 1 species